GGAGAGUUGCCGGAGUGGUCGAACGGGGCAGUCUCGAAAACUGUUGAUCCUCUUGGGGAUCCGAGGGUUCGAAUCCCUCACUCUCCG
rnacentral:tRNA from 1 species